AUACGGAGGGUGCAAGCGUUGUUCGGAAUCACUGGGCGUAAAGGGCGCGCAGGCGGUUUGGUAAGUCAGAUGUGAAAGCCCACGGCUCAACCGUGGAAGUGCAUUUGAAACUGCCAGACUUGAGUACCAGAGGGGAAAGUGGAACUCCCGGUGUAGAGGUGAAAUUCGUAGAUAUCGGGAGGAAUACCGGUGGCGAAGGCGACUUUCUGGCUGGAUACUGACGCUGAGGCGCGAAAGCGUGGGGAGCAAACAGGAUUAGAUACCCUAGUAGUCC
rnacentral:rRNA from 1 species